rnacentral:SRP_RNA from 1 species
ACCAGGUAUGGUGGCAUGCACCUGUAGUCCUCACUACUUGAGAAGCUGAGGUGGAAGUUUCACUUAAGCCCAGGAGUUCUGGGCUGUAGUGUGCUAUGUUGAUUGGGUGUCUGUACUAAGUUUGACAUCAAUAUGGUGACCUCCCAGGAGUGGAGCCCACCAGCCUGCCUAAGAAGGAGUAAACUGGCCCAGGUCGGAAACAGAGCAGGUCAAAACUCCUGUGCUGAUCAUAGGGAGAUCAGGCCUGUGAAUAGCCACUGCUCUCCAGCCUGGUCAAUAUAGUGAGACCGCAUCUCU